rnacentral:rRNA from 1 species
GAUGAACGCUAGCUACAGGCUUAACACAUGCAAGUCGAGGGGAAACGACAUCGAAAGCUUGCUUUUGAUGGGCGUCGACAGGCGCACGGGCGAGUAAAGCGUAUCCAACCUGCCCAUCACUUGGGGAUAACCUUGCGAAAGUAAGACUAAUACCCAAUGAUAUCUAUAGAAGACAUCUGAAAGAGAUUAAAGAUUUAUCGGUGAUGGAUGGGGAUGCGUCUGAUUAGCUUGUUGGCGGGGUAACGGCCCACCAAGGCAACGAUCAGUAGGGGUGCUGAGAGGAAGGUCCCCCACAUUGGAACUGAGACACGGUCCAAACUCCUACGGGAGGCAGCAGUGAGGGAUAUUGGUCAAUGGGCGAGAGCCUGAACCAGCCAAGUAGCGUGCAGGAAGACGGCCCUAUGGGUUGUAAACUGCUUUUAUAAGAGAAUAAAGUGAGAGUCGAGACUCUUUUUGUAGGUACCUUAUGAAUAAGGACCGGCUAAUUCCGUG